CAUGUGUCGAUUACUCCAGGUCUCAGUGUUCCUAUGUAUCAGUGUCUCAGUGCCCCAUGUCUCCCAGUGUCCCCUAGUGUCAUGUCCCCAGGUCUCCCAGUGAUCCUAUGUAUCACAGUGUCUGAAUGCUCCAUGUCUCCCUGUGUCCCCAUGUAUCCCAGGGUCCCCAUGUCACUAGGACACUAGGAAGACGGGGAGACCUGGGG